rnacentral:rRNA from 1 species
UACGUAGGGGGCGAGCGUUGUCCGGAAUCAUUGGGCGUAAAGCGCGUGUAGGCGGCCCGGUAAGUCCGCUGUGAAAGUCCUGGGCUCAACCCUGGGAUGCCGGUGGAUACUGUCGGGCUCGAGUCCGGAAGAGGCGAGUGGAAUUCCUGGUGUAGCGGUGAAAUGCGCAGAUAUCAGGAGGAACACCAAUGGCGAAGGCAGCUCGCUGGGACGUGACUGACGCUGAGACGCGAAAGCGUGGGGAGCAAACAGG